rnacentral:rRNA from 1 species
UACGUAGGGUGCGAGCGUUAAUCGGAAUUACUGGGCGUAAAGCGUGCGCAGGCGGUAAUGCAAGACAGAUGUGAAAUCCCCGGGCUUAACCUGGGAACUGCAUUUGUGACUGCAUUGCUGGAGUGCGGCAGAGGGGGAUGGAAUUCCGCGUGUAGCAGUGAAAUGCGUAGAUAUCAGGAGGAAUACCGAUGGCGAAGGCAGGUCUCUGGGCUGACACUGACGCUCAUGCACGAAAGCGUGGGGAGCAAACAGG